rnacentral:rRNA from 1 species
AUUGAACGCUGGCGGCAGGCCUAACACAUGCAAGUCGAACGGUAACAGGAAGAAGCUUGCUUCUUUGCUGACGAGUGGCGGACGGGUGAGUAAUGUCUGGGAAACUGCCUGAUGGAGGGGGAUAACUACUGGAAACGGUAGCUAAUACCGCAUAAUGUCGCAAGACCAAAGAGGGGGACCUUCGGGCCUCUUGCCAUCGGAUGUGCCCAGAUGGGAUUAGCUAGUAGGUGGGGUAACGGCUCACCUAGGCGACGAUCCCUAGCUGGUCUGAGAGGAUGACCAGCAACACUGGAACUGAGACACGGUCCAGACUACUACGGGAGGCAGCAGUGGGGAAUAUUGCACAAUGGGCGCAAGCCUGAUGCAGCUAUGCCGCGUGUAUGAAGAAGGCCUUCGGGUUGUAAAGUACUUUCAGCGGGGAGGAAGGGAGUAAAGUUAAUACCUUUGCUCAUUGACGUUACCCGCAGAAGAAGCACCGGCUAACUCCGUG